rnacentral:lncRNA from 10 species
CUCAUCUGUAAAAUGGAGAUUAAAAUACUUAUAUUUUUCAGAGUUAUAAAUAUCAGCUGUUUAUGCAGCUUGCCAACACUGAACUUGGACAACUGGCCAUUAUGUAACAAGCCCUAAUUAAGCCUGCUGUCUAUCCCAGAGGCAAACAUGACCUCAUCCGUUAAAGCUUUUCACUGAAAUCCAACCUGAAGAAUGGCCUGGCUGGAGGUGCAGUGUCCUCCUGGUGUCACCAUUGGCUUUGUUGCGGAACAUUGGAACCUGUGCAGGGCGGUGUACAGCAUCCAAAAUG